rnacentral:rRNA from 1 species
UACGGGGGGGGUAAGCGUUGUUCGGAAUUACUGGGCGUAAAGGGCUCGUAGGCGGCCAACUAAGUCAGACGUGAAAUCCCUCAGCUUAACUGGGGAACUGCGUCUGAUACUGGAUGGCUUGGAUUCGGGAGAGGAAUGCGGAAUUCCAGGUGUAGCGGUGAAAUGCGUAGAUAUUGGGAAGAACACCGGUGGCGAAGGCGGCUAUCUGGACUGUGACUGACGCUGAGGCGCGAAAGCGUGGGGAGCAAACAGG